rnacentral:lncRNA from 10 species
AGUGGACCAGACAAUGUAUAGUGUGUUGUUGUGGUGAAGUAUGGGUUUUCCCUGUUGUCUGAAAUGUGCUUUCUCACAACUGUAAGGUGUAGCAGGAGGAAAGUGGGAUUUUCCCAGACUCUGAGACAUCCUGCCUUAAAUUUCUAGAAAACAUAAACAGUUUAGGAGACAGCAUAAUCUAAGUAAAGAAUUAAAAGUUAGAGGUUCCUGUCUUUGAGAUGAAGAUAAUUUGGAGAAGGAGAGUGUAGUAUUUUCCAGGAAUCCCGUUUAUCGAUUUAUGCAUACAUUUAACUGAUAUUUACUGAACACCCCCUAUGCACCUGACACUGUCUGGGGCCCCAGGAUUUAUUGCUGAACAUGAAUUUUAAGAUCUCUAUGCUCAUGGAUCUCUCUCCAGCUUGAAAGGGUUUUAUUUAGAAAGCUACGAAUUGGUUUUUGGAAGUGUGUCAUUCGCUUCUUCCCUGGUGACUAGAUGUAUCACGUAGUAAGAAGUAAGAAUGCAGGAAACAGAAAGCUUGUGGU